GCAAAGGCAAUGAAAAGCAGGAGUACUCCGUUUUUGAGGCGCAGAGAGGAUGCGGUUGGUGCGAGCAUCCGCGAGAAGCCGGGGGAAGGUCGUCUUUGAGCCGCAGGCUGAACCCUUCGGGGCAGUAGGCCGUGCCGUUUUCCGCGUUAAGGAGCAGGGCGUGUCUGCGCCUGAAGUGCGUGCUUUUGAGCACGAAUAUGGGUGGUACCGCGAGGCAAUGCUUCGUCCCAGUU
rnacentral:ncRNA from 1 species